rnacentral:piRNA from 1 species
UGAAAGGGCCCUUGUCCUCUGCACCC